UUACGGCUCAGUAACACGUAGACAACCUACCCUACAGUCUGGAAUAACAGCGGGAAACUGCUCUCAACUCCGGAUAAGUUUUGGACACUGGAAUGUUCCAAAGCUGAAAAGGCAUGUCCUUUCUGACAUGUUCUGCUAUAGGAUGGGUCUGCGGCUGAUCAGGCUGUUGGUAAGGUAACGGCUUACCAAACCAUAGACCAGUAGGGGUCUUGAAAGAGAGGGCCCCAAGAAGGACACUUAGACAAGGGUCCUAGCCCUACGGGGUGCAGCAGGGUCGAGUUCUCUGCAAUGCGCGAAAGCGUGACAGGGGGAUUCCGAGUGCUUAUGCAUUAGCAUUGGCUUUUGCCAAGUGUAAAUAGCUUGGCGAAUAAGGGGUGGGCAAGACCGGUGGCAGCAGCCGCGGUAAUACCGGCGCCCCGAGUGAUGGUCAUAUUUAUUGGGCCUAAAGCGUCCGUAGCUGGUUUGAUGGGUCUUUGGUGAAAUCCAUGCGCUUAACGUAUGGGCGUGCCAGAGAAACUUUCAAGCUAGGGAUUGGGAGAGGUAUGGAGUACUGUUGGGGUAAGGGUAAAAUCUUAUAAUCCCAACAAGACUACCAGUGGCGAAGGCGCCAUACCGGAACAAGUCCGACAGUGAGGGACGAAAGCUGAGGGAGCAAACGGGAUUAGAUACCCCGGUAGUCUCAGCUGUAAACGCUGUCUGUUAGGUGUUGCACGUUGUUCGACGGCGUGCAGUGCCGCAGCGAAGGCAUUAAACAGACCGCCUGGGGAGUACGGUCGCAAGGCUGAAACUUAAAGGAAUUGGCGGGGGAGCAC
rnacentral:rRNA from 1 species